GUCGGUAUAAAAACAGGACUCUGAAUUUUUACCCUUUGAAUUACGGACCAUCAUGGCGCUUCUAUCCGCCAUUAUUGUAACAUUGACUGUGUUUAUACACGGAAGUGUUGCAGCUCCAACACAGGUCACAACCUGGGCAACAUGGUCAAGUUGGUCCUCUGGUGGCUCUACAA